AUUGAACGCUGGCGGCAGGCUUAACACAUGCAAGUCGAGCGAGCGGCGGACGGGUGAGUAAUGUCUGGGAAACUGCCUGAUGUAGGGGUAUAACUACUGGAAACGGUAGCUAAUACCGCAUACCAUCAGAUGUGCCCACAUGGGAUUAGCUAUUAGGUUGGGUAAUGGCUCACCUAGGCGACGAUCCCUAGCUGGUCUGAGAGGAUGACCAGCCACACUGGAACUGAGACACGGUCCAGAAUCCUACGGGAGGCAGCAGUGGGGAAUAUGGCGCAAUGGGCGCAAGCCUGAUACAGCCAUGCCGCGUGAGUGAAGAAGGCCUUCGGGUUGUAAAGCACUUUCAGCGAGGAGGCGUUACUCACAGAAGAAGCACCGGCUAACUCCGUGCCAGCAGACGCGGUAAUUC
rnacentral:rRNA from 1 species